rnacentral:rRNA from 1 species
GACGAAGGGGGCUAGCGUUGUUCGGAAUUACUGGGCGUAAAGCGCGUGUAGGCGGUUGCCAAAGUCGGGUGUGAAAGCCUUGAGCUCAACUCAAGAAAUGCACUCGAUACUUGGUGACUAGAGGACCGGAGAGGAUAGUGGAAUUCCCAGUGUAGUGGUGAAAUACGUAGAGAUUGGGAAGAACACCAGUGGCGAAGGCGGCUAUCUGGACGGUUUCUGACGCUAAGACGCGGAAGCGUGGAGAGCAAACAGG